rnacentral:rRNA from 1 species
AUGCAAGUCGAGGGGCAGCGGGAUUGAAGCUUGCUUCAAUUGCCGGCGACCGGCGCACGGGUGAGUAACACGUAUCCAACCUUCCGUUUACUCAGGGAUAGCCUUUCGAAAGAAAGAUUAAUAUCCGAUGGCAUAAUGAUUCCGCAUGGUUUCAUUAUUAAAGGAUUCCGGUAAACGAUGGGGAUGCGUUCCAUUAGGUAGUAGGCGGGGUAACGGCCCACCUAGCCGACGAUGGAUAGGGGUUCUGAGAGGAAGGUCCCCACAUUGGAACUGAGACACGGCCCAAACUCC